rnacentral:rRNA from 1 species
AUGCAACGCGAAGAACCUUACCUGGUCUUGACAUCCCGGAGACCCUUAGGAAACUAGGGGUGCUUCCAUCUGGAAGAAUCUGGAGACAGGUGCUGCAUGGCUGUCGUCAGCUCGUGUCGUGAGAUGUUGGGUUAAGUCCCGCAACGAGCGCAACCCUUGCCUUUAGUUGCCAGCAGUUCGGCUGGGCACUCUAAAGGGACUGCCGGUGUUAAACCGGAGGAAGGUGGGGAUGACGUCAAGUCCUCAUGGCCUUUAUGACCGGGGCUACACACGUACUACAAUGGCCGAUACAAAGGGCAGCGACACUGCGAGGUGAAGCCAAUCCCGUAAAAUCGGUCUCAGUCCGGAUUGGAGUCUGCAACUCGACUCCAUGAAGUUGGAAUCGCUAGUAAUCGUGGAUCAGCAUGCCACGGUGAAUACGUUCCCGGGCCUU